GCCUCUUCUAUGUGUGGAUCAUCUCUCUUCCUUUCAGGGCUUCCAUCAAGGCUGCUAUCUUGGUCCUCAGGCUCUCUGGGAGGAUUCCUUACUUCCUGUGCAAGAGUUCCCAGGCCCUUCCAGCUUCCCUGAAGACAGCCAGACGGGACUCUGCAGAGACAGCUUGACCUCCUCAAGCAGGACCCAGCACCUUGGGCUCCCCUCAACAUUGUCUCCUUAACUGCACUGCAUCAUGGAGAAAGACCAGCCAC